GAGAGAGGGACAACAGUAGGAGCAGGCAGAUCUUGCUGUUUCAACCAAAACCUCAUGCUGACCAGAGUUGAGGAACAGAAGAAGAUGGUGAAGGCCUGCAGGUAUAGGUGUUCAGCAUGUCAUCUGAAAUAUUCCCCACAGAGGCAAAAAGAAAGGAAAUUAUCUCUGAAAAGGAAUGGGAGGACAAGUCAGCAGAAUAUGUCAAUGUUUUGGUUGAAGAAGCUGCUUGAAUCUGGGCUUUUCUGUGCCAUGUGUUCUCCCAGGGCCAGCACAAAGAAGGGCUUUUGGUGCAGGCCCAAGACCACCAUAAUCAUCAUUGAUUAUUCCUCUCCACGCCAGUGUCUCUAAAUAAACUUUCUCUUCUUUCUCUGACAAAGGUGUUUUUGAGUGUUACUGUUUAGCUGAAGAGUGACGUUGAGUGACCUUAGUACCCUAGCCCUUCAUGUAAUCAGAUGGGUGUUGUAAGCAGAGGGAGAACCAUGUGAGUCAGGAGGAAAUAUGUAGUUUACCCUUUUUUUCCUGUUUGAAAGAUUUACUAUGAUGUUCAUGGUUGGGCUUUUGUUUGGGAUAAAUUGAGAUGCUUUCUGGAUAUGAUAAGGGCUUAUUUGGUUUGAUAGACCGUCUAAACAAGGCCAGUGCAGGCUGAGCCAGGUGAACCACCAGAUCACCAUCAGCUCACACUUCUCAUUCAUUUGUUAGCAGAAAUGAAGAUGCUUGUUUUCCUAGAAACAAGCCCAGGUCAUCCAUCAUGAAGUCCAGGAAUUGUAAAUGUGAGGAAGUGCAAAGACACAACGUACACUUACAAAGGCAUAUGUGCAUUUGGAAUUCUUUAAAGGACAACAUCCUCGAGCUUCUCCUGAUCGCUGGGACCACACAUUAUCAAGCCUACCUUGUUGCUAGCCUCAGAAUCCCUUCUUUUUCCUGAAGAAUAGUUUGAAAUCCAUGAGGAAAUUAAAGGAAUUAUAACCACAGAGAAGAGAAUCAGUUGUCUGUCUGGAUGUGACUUGGGCUCCAAAUUGGGACAGAAGACUCAUAACACAUUAUCUCCUGCCCCUGACACUCAUUAUUAUUUUUUGGUGUGUAUAACACUGUGUUCUCUAAAGCUUUCUUGAUAGCUGGGACAGCAAGAACAUUGUGUUAGGCAGAGGAAUUGCCUUAAACAGGUCCUAGACCUGUGAAUCUUUUUCCAGUUUUGUGAUUCCCUGAAGGGCGGGGACCCUGACUGACCUCUACCUGUAUUGUUGGUGUGUGACAAUAACAAUGGCAGUGAUGAGAUGAUAAUGUUGGAGCAGGAUAACUCACUGGAUUAUUAGUUUGUGUAUAUUCUCAAUAUAUUUCCCCUCCCUUCUUUGAAGCAGAGAGCCACAUUUUGAUUUUGUGUUUUUUUGCUUUGGGUGGGGGAUGAAAUGAGCUCUUUGUACAUAAUUCCCGUCCUGAUUUUUGGUAUCCAAAAUCCAUAAUUCCCUUGCUGAGUUUUUGAUAUUAUUGGUAUUAUGUUUUGGGGGCAACUUAAUUUUAUCUCACCUUCCAAUACAGCCUGAGAUAAGAACUUGUGUCUGGGCUUUGUAAUGGGAGGUAGAUUAUAGGAAGCAGAAGGGAGGGGACAGGCCAUGUGGGACAGGGAAGGAAGAAAAUAAAGAGUAUGUUACUGAGCUGAGUAUUGUCAUCAGCAACGGGGGUUCAAUCCUGCUGGAGACCCUCUAAGAAACUGUGGAAUGCACCUUGGAAUUAUCUCUCCCGAUGCUGGGAGGCUGGGACAUGUAAUGGAUUUCCAUCCUCUACUAGUUGAAGGUUUCCUCUAGGAAUGUUAACUGCCCCCUUCCUGGGCUGCCUAGCACCUUUGAUAGGUAGGAAUACUUGGUCCCUGAUGUAUUAUUCUCUGCUUUUUUAGGGCCUCAGCCAAAACGGAGACACAAAAUGCAUCAUGCUAACAUUGUUGUAUGAGUUAAACUAGAAAAUCACAGGAAAAGAUUAAAAAAUGGAGAUCAAGAGAAAGAGGGAAAAACAAAGACCAGAAUAAACAUAAUUUCUAUUCAUCCCCUGGAUUAGUGAGCACAAGCCAUGCUUCUUGAUUCGAGCUCAGGUGAAGGGUGAAAUGCAGCCACAUCUAUAUUUUCCAAUGCCUUAUCUGUCUUCCUUUUUGGUCUCUUUGCUUGUUUUAUUUUAUAGGCUCAACGCACCUUCAUAUCUAUUAUCAACAAUAAAUGGGCCUGGUAUCAUUGGAAACGUGAAAAAUAGAACGUAAGAACUUUCAACCCCCCAAGUAAACCCUGGC
rnacentral:lncRNA from 1 species